rnacentral:rRNA from 1 species
GACGAACGCUGGCGGCGUGCUUAACACAUGCAAGUCGAACGGUAAGGCCCUUUCGGGGGUGCACGAGUGGCGAACGAACGAGUAACACGCGAGUAACUUGCCCACAACUUACGGUUAACGCUAGGAAACUGACGCUAAUACUUGACAUGUACUCCUGCUGCAUGGAGGGGGUGGGAAAGAUAGGGCGGUUGUGGCUGGACUCGCGGCCUAUCCGCUUGUUGGUGGGGUGGGGGGCUGCCAAGGCGGCGGCGGGUAGCCGGCCUGGGAGGGUGACCGGCCACCUUGGGACUGGGGUAAGGCCCAGCCUCCUACCGGGGGCAGGAGUGGGGAAUUUUGCACAAUGGGCGCGAGCCUGGUGCAGCAACGCCGCGUGCGGGAUGGCGGCCUUCGGGUUGUAAACCGCUUUCAGCAGGGACGAAGCUUUUUGUGACGGUACCUGCUGAAGAAGCACCGGCUAACUACGUG